ACUGUUUCGUUUCCACAGAAAUAUCGUCCGCUUCUAACCAGCUUGGUUGGGCUGGUUGGGGGCAGCCAUGGGAUGCACGGAUUCGGUCUUCGGCAUUUACAAUGAAAAUUUCCUUUCGUUGUUUUUUGGUUGUUGAAGGGUUUGAGCAUGAGGAAAAAGGUGAUUUUGCAACCUCACCAAAGCAUUUCAGAAUUGCUUGGGUGAAGCUGAUGACUGUGUGCGUUGCAGGACUAUAACAAAAUGGCGCAACUACAUCUAUUCGUGGACUUUGAAAUAGAAACAAGGGGACUGUUCGUGUGUGAAUAAAGGCUUGCCAUUGC